rnacentral:rRNA from 1 species
CCUACGGGCGGCAGCAGUGAGGAAUAUUGGUCAAUGGACGCGAGUCUGAACCAGCCAAGUAGCGUGAAGGAUGACUGCCCUAUGGGUUGUAAACUUCUUUUAUAUGGGAAUAAAAUGUUCCACGUGUGGGAUUUUGUAUGUACCAUAUGAAUAAGGAUCGGCUAACUCCGUGCCAGCAGCCGCGGUAAUACGGAGGAUCCGAGCGUUAUCCGGAUUUAUUGGGUUUAAAGGGAGCGUAGGUGGAUUGUUAAGUCAGUUGUGAAAGUUUGCGGCUCAACCGUAAAAUUGCAAUUGAAACUGGCAGUCUUGAGUACAGUUGAGGUGGGCGGAAUUCGUGGUGUAGCGGUGAAAUGCUUAGAUAUCACGAAGAACUCCGAUUGCGAAGGCAGUUCACUGGACUGCAACUGACACUGAGGCUCGAAAGUGUGGGUAUCAAACAGGAUUAGAUACCCCUGUAGUC